rnacentral:rRNA from 1 species
AACGAACGUUGGCGGCAUGCCUAACACAUGCAAGUCGAACGAAGCCUUCGGGCUUAGUGGCGCACGGGUGCGUAACGCGUGGGAAUCUGCCCUUGGUUCGGAAUAACAGUUAGAAAUGACUGCUAAUACCGGAUGAUGUCUUCGGACCAAAGAUUUAUCGCCCAAGGAUGAGCCCGCGUAGGAAUAGGUAGUUGGUGGGGUAAUGGCCCACCAAGCCGACGAUCCUUAGCUGGUCUGAGAGGAUGAUCAGCCACACUGGGACUGAGACACGGCCCAGACUCCUACGGGAGGCAGCAGUGGGGAAUAUUGGACAAUGGGCGAAAGCCUGAUCCAGCAAUGCCGCGUGAGUGAUGAAGGCCUUAGGGUUGUAAAGCUCUUUUACCAGGGAUGAUAAUGACAGUACCUGGAGAAUAAGCUCCGGCUAACUCCGUGCCAGCCGCCGCGGUAA